GCCACUGCUAUUGGGGUUCGGCUAAGCCAUGCGAGUGGAGGGCGUCCCGCAAGGGAUGGCCCCGCAGACGGCUCAGUAACACGUCGUCAACCCACCUUAGGGUGGGGGACAACCUCGGGAAACUGAGGAUAAUCCCCCAUAGGCGGGGGAGGCUGGAAUGCGCCCCCGCUGAAAGCUCAGGCGCCCUAGGACGGGACGGCGGCCUAAUCAGGUAGUUGGUGGUGUGACG
rnacentral:rRNA from 1 species